rnacentral:lncRNA from 1 species
GGCGUACUUUAUAGCCACAAAUCGUGGCUUUAUAAGGUACGCUCAAAACAUGCGUACUUUAUAGCCACAGACUAUGUAAGUUAUAAUGUAUGCUGAAAACAGGCGUACUUUAUAGCCACAAAUCGUGGAUUUAUAAGGUAUGCUGGAAACAGGCGUACUUUAUAGCCACAGACAGACAGACUAUGGUUAUAAUGUAUGCCGAAAACAGGCGUACUUUAUAGCCACAAAUCGUGGAUUUAUAAGGUAUGCUGAAAACAGGCGUACUUUAUAGCCACAGACUAUGUAAGUUACAAUGUAUGUUGAAAACAGGCGUACUUUAUAGCCACAAAUCGUGGCUUUAUAAGGUACGCUCAAAACAUGCGUACUUUAUAGCCACAGACUAUGUAAGUUACAAUGUAUGCUGAAAACAGGCGUACUUUAUAGCCACAAAUCGUGGCUUUAUAAGGUACGCUCAAAACAUGCGUAUUUUAUAGCCACAAAUCGUGGCUUUAUAAGGUAUGCUGAAAACAGGCGUACUUUAUAGCCACAGACUAUGGUUAUAAUGUAUGCUGAAAACAGGCGUACUUUAUAGCCACAAAUCGUGGCUUUAUAAGGUAUGUUGAAACUUUCAAAUUUUCGCACUUGGGCAAAAGGAUAAAUUUAUAAAAAUAAUUUGAAUUUUGGUCUCUAAACACGAUAAAUAAUAUAGUAAUAUCCCAUUAAUCAUUAUAUUGUUGUCAAAAGGCCCGAUCACACUACAGAACGAUAACGAUACGAUAACGUGUGAACACGCGCUGUUUGGUCAAACAAUUUAUUGUUAUCGUCCGAUUGAAAAAAAAUUGCUUGUGUGAGCGAUUUUAACAUCGUUACCGUUAUCAUUGUUGCUACGACAUAAAAUCACAUCGCUCAGCAGGUCACACUAAGAAGUUAAUUUAAUCACUCGUUACUAUAUUUCGUGAUAGAAACUGAAAAUUUCACCUUUAAGUAAUUUUUUGCUGUCCGUCCUUUCAAACCAACUCCUCUCGAGAAUUUUUGCGCGGUUCUUGCAGGUAUUCGAACGCGCAAUAACUGCCUGUAUACUCCAGAUUGUUUUCUUUCUUUGAGAUCAUAACCUCUGCCAAUAGUUAUACCAGAAGCCGAGCUUGGUACGUGAGGUUUACGACUGAAAUAAAUACUUCCUGGGAUGUCGUUGCCUUCGGAAUCAAAUGUAACCUGGCCACGGCUGACUUGGAGAGGACCUA